rnacentral:rRNA from 1 species
UACGGAGGGUGCGAGCGUUGUCCGGAAUCACUGGGCGUAAAGGGCGCGUAGGUGGCGCGACAAGUCAACGGUGAAAGCUCGGCGCUCAACGCCGAGUCGGCCGUCGAUACUGUUGGGCUGGAGCACUGUAGAGGCUCAUGGAAUUCCGGGUGUAGCGGUGGAAUGCGUAGAGAUCCGGAAGAACACCGGUGGCGAAGGCGGUGAGCUGGGCAGUUGCUGACACUGAUGCGCGACAGCGUGGGGAGCAAACAGG